CCGGUAGACGAUGGGGAUGCGUUCCAUUAGAUAGUAGGCGGGGUAACGGCCCACCUAGUCUUCGAUGGAUAGGGGUUCUGAGAGGAAGGUCCCCCACAUUGGAACUGAGACACGGUCCAAACUCCUACGGGAGGCAGCAGUGAGGAAUAUUGGUCAAUGGGCGAGAGCCUGAACCAGCCAAGUAGCGUGAAGGAUGACUGCCCUAUGGGUUGUAAACUUCUUUUAUAAAGGAAUAAAGUCGGGUAUGGAUACCCGUUUGCAUGUACUUUAUGAAUAAGGAUCGGCUAACUCCGUGCCAGCAGCCGCGGUAAUACGGAGGAUCCGAGCGUUAUCCGGAUUUAUUGGGUUUAAAGGGAGCGUAGAUGGAUGUUUAAGUCAGUUGUGAAAGUUUGCGGCUCAACCGUAAAAUUGCAGUUGAUACUGGAUAUCUUGAGUGCAGUUGAGGCAGGCGGAAUUCGUGGUGUAGCGGUGAAAUGCUUAGAUAUCACGAAGAACUCCGAUUGCGAAGGCAGCCUGCUAAGCUGCAACUGACAUUGAGGCUCGAAAGUGUGGGUAUCAAACAGGAUUAGAUACCCUGGUAGUCCACACGGUAAACGAUGAAUACUCGCUGUUUGCGAUAUACUGCAA
rnacentral:rRNA from 1 species